rnacentral:rRNA from 1 species
ACGCUCGACACCUACGGGGGGCAGCAGUGGGGAAUAUUGCACAAUGGGGGAAACCCGUGAUGCAGCGACGCCGCGUGAGUGAAGAAGUAUUUCGGUAUGUAAAGCUCUAUCAGCAGGGAAGAAGAUGACGGUACCUGAGUAAGAAGCCCCGGCUAACUACGUGCCAGCAGCCGCUGUAAUCUGAGGCGGGCUGGCAAGGC